UACGUAGGUGGCAAGCGAUACUCGGAAUCACUAGGCGUAAAGCGCACGCAGGCGGUCUGUUCAGUUUGGAGUGACAGUUCCUGGCUCAACCGGGAAAGUGCUUCGAAUACUGGCGGACUUGAGGGCUUCAGAGGGACACGGAAUUCCGGGUGGAGUGGUGAAAUGCGUAGAGAUCCGGAGGAACACCAAAGGCGAAGGCAGUGUCCUGGGGAGUACCUGACGCUCAGGUGCGAAAGCCAGGGGAGCGAACGGG
rnacentral:rRNA from 1 species